UUCUGGGAUGCCAGUCAUCUCCACUCCUGUCACUAACUCACUGGAAAAAGCCACUGUCAGGGCAGAAAGACUGCAUGAGCACCAUGGCAAGAAUUCUUAGGAAACCCCUGUGGAAGGAUCAUUUGAACCCCAAGGAGAUCACUGCCCAUGGAUGUAUGCUGUUGGUGCUGAAGGAGAAAACUGCAUAGAAUUGUGGAGGUGCAGAGUUACCAAGAAGGCCCAGGACAGAUGUUUCCAGUGAAGACCUUCUGACGGAGAAGCUAAUGUUAUCUAAGAACACACAAGAUGGCAA